UGGCGGACGGGUGAGAAACACGUGGGUAACCUGCCUCAUAGAGGGGAAUAGCCUUUCGAAAGGAAGAUUAAUACCGCAUAAGAUUGUAGUGCCGCAUGGCAUAGCAAUUAAAGGAGUAAUCCGCUAUGAGAUGGACCCGCGUCGCAUUAGCUAGUUGGUGAGGUAACGGCUCACCAAGGCGACGAUGCGUAGCCGACCUGAGAGGGUGAUCGGCCACAUUGGGACUGAGACACGGCCCAGACUCCUACGGGAGGCAGCAGUGGGGAAUAUUGCACAAUGGGGGAAACCCUGAUGCAGCAACGCCGCGUGAGUGAUGACGGUCUUCGGAUUGUAAAGCUCUGUCUUUAGGGACGAUAAUGACGGUACCUAAGGAGGAAGCCACGGCUAACUACGUGCCAGCAGCCGCGGUAAU
rnacentral:rRNA from 1 species